UCAGGUAGAUAGGUCCGAGGUGGAAGUGUGGUGACACAUGGAGCUGACGGAUACUAAUCGUUCGAGGACUUAACCAAA
rnacentral:rRNA from 1 species